rnacentral:lncRNA from 1 species
UUGCAGAAAAUUUGUGAAAAAGGGUGCCAUGUGUGGAUAAGAGCUCUGUUAUUCCAAUCAAAAAAAUAAAUUAUACAUAAAAACAUAUAAUUCUCAUCCGAAGCAGGCUCCAGUGGCACCAUUUCUUCCUUUUUUUUGUGUCUUCUUCAAUCUCUCUGUGCAGGCCACACCUUCGGCCUCACUAAUAUCGACCUCUCCAUCCACAGCAGGUGUUUGGAAGGAAGGGAAAGAAAGAAAGGGAAGUGACUCAACUGAUUCGAGUUGGGGGGGAUCAAGAUAGACCGGAACUAAGGAAAAAACGAUGUUAAUUUUUCCCCCUUUGAUCUUUCUUCCUCUUCUUCUCUUUUUGUUUUUUAAGGAUGAUGGGCCUUAGAGAUGGUGGAGAAUCACAUCCACAAGAAGCUGUUGGGAGAAGUAGGAGGAUAGAGAUAGAGAGCGAAGAAGGAAAAUGGAGGGGGUUUUAUUUCUUUUCUUUUGUGGUAGGGUUGGCUGAAUUGAUAGGAUUGGAGAGAGUUCCUCCACCUUUAAGCUUCUGAGAAGACUGCGGAGUCAAUAUUAAUGGAUUUGGAGGCUAGCUGCUAUCAUGCAUGCACAAAGCUAGAGAUAGAAAAGGGAAUGUGCAAUUGAGCAGGCAAUGGAACCGUAAUAGUAUAAUUAUUUGAUGAGAAAUAUUGAAAAGCUCAAAGCUUAGCCUCCAUAUAACUGUGGAGAAAAGAAAAGCGUUGGUCCUCGUGGUGUGGAACGGUUACUUUCUGUCGGUCGCUCUCUCUGUGUGCUUUACGAGUUAAAUUAGUGGGCCAGUUUCGUAGAAUGAAUUAGACUAGUCAAAAUGGAUUUUCUUUUUCUUUUUUUUUUU